rnacentral:rRNA from 1 species
UGAGGAAUAUUGGUCAAUGGGCGCAAGCCUGAACCAGCCAUGCCGCGUGAAGGAUUAAGGCCCUAUGGGUUGUAAACUUCUUUUGUUCGGGACGAAACUGCGCCACGUGUGGUGCACUGACGGUACCGAACGAAUAAGCAACGGCUAACUCCGUGCCAGCAGCCGCGGUAAUACGGAGGUUGCAAGCGUUAUCCGGAUUUAUUGGGUUUAAAGGGUGCGUAGGCGGGAACUUAAGUCAGUGGUGAAAUCCUGUAGCUCAACUAUAGAACAGCCAUUGAUACUGAGUUUCUUGAGUACAAUUGAGGUAGGCGGAAUGUGCAGUGUAGCGGUGAAAUGCUUAGAUAUUGCACAGAACACCAAUUGCGAAGGCAGCUUACUAAACUGUCACUGACGCUGAGGC